CGCAAUGGGCGAAAGCCUGACGGAGCGACACCGCGUGGGUGAAGAAGUCCUUUGGGGUGUAAAAACCUUUUAUGAUUAAGAAAACUUAUUGAUCUGAUCAUGAAUAAGGGGCUCCAAACUUUGUGCCCGCAGGAGCGGUAAUACAGAGGCCCCCAGCGUUAUCCGGAAUCACUGGGGGUAAAGGGUGUGUAGGGGGUUUUGUUAAUUUCUCGUUAAAAUUCCCGACCUUAUCGUGAAAAUUGGAGGGAAACGGCACAAAUUGGAGAGCGGGAGGGGUCAGUGGAAUUCCUGGAGUAGGGGUGAAAUCCGUUGAUAUCAUGGGGAACACCAAAAGCGAAGGCAGCAGGCUGGGGCAUUUCUGACACUGAAACACGAAAGCCU
rnacentral:rRNA from 1 species